UUCCCCAACCAGGGAUUGAACCCAGGCCACAGCAGUGAGAGUGCUGAGUCCUAACCACUGGACCACCAGGGA
rnacentral:tRNA from 1 species